CUGUCUUUGCAGCAGUCAUGAAUCUGGAACAAUAGAUUAUUUUUGUAUUUGCUGCACACCGCUUACAGACUGUUUGGUUUCAGCUUUACACCAAAAAUGUAUUUUGAAUUGUGUGUGAGAGUUCUUGUGCUCUCUCUCUUGAUUUUUGGGCAGCAAGCAAAGGCACUCAGCUACAGAAGUGGAGGCUCCAGUGGCAUUACACCUCACUUUGAUUUUUCAAGAGUUCUUAAACCUGCUUCCAUUUCCAGUGAUGAUAGUUCAGCACAGCCUGAGAGGGUUUUGGGUAGUUAUUCACCCUUUCAUGCUGAUGGGGCUUUAUCUGAGACUCUGAAGCCAGCUGCUGCACCAAGUGCAGGAGGUUAUAGUGGCUCUCAUGGUAGGCAAGUAGAUGGUUACAGUCCUGAGGGAAGUGUUUCUAGUUACGGGCCAAGCCAACCAAUAAUUAGUAAACCAAACCAACUACCUCAAGCUAAUCCUAGUGCAAAUGGUGUCCUUCCAACCAAAGCUGCCCAGUGGGCUUUCCC